rnacentral:rRNA from 1 species
GACGAACGCUGGCGGCGUGCCUAAUACGUGCAAGUUGAGCGCUGAAGGUUGGUACUUGUACCGACUGGAUGAGCAGCGAACGGGUGAGUAACGCGUGGGGAAUCUGCCUUUGAGCGGGGGACAACAUUUGGAAACGAAUGCUAAUACCGCAUAAAAACUUUAAACACAAGUUUUAAGUUUGAAAGAUGCAAUUGCAUCACUCAAAGAUGAUCCCGCGUUGUAUUAGCUAGUUGGUGAGGUAAAGGCUCACCAAGGCGAUGAUACAUAGCCGACCUGAGAGGGUGAUCGGCCAAAUUGGGACUGAGACACGGCCCAAACGCCUACGGGAGGCAGCAGUAGGGAAUCUUCGGCAAUGGACGAAAGUCUGACCGAGCAACGCCGCGUGAGUGAAGAAGGUUUUCGGAUCGUAAAACUCUGUUGGUAGAGAAGAACGUUGGUGAGAGUGGAAAGCUCAUCAAGUGACGGUAACUACCCAGAAAGGGACGGCUAACUACGUG